rnacentral:lncRNA from 1 species
CGAAAGGAUAAAAUAACGAAGUAUCCUAGCAAAUUAUAAUAUCACAUGCUGCUGCUUUAGUCUCUUUUUCAUACCAACAACAACCUCGCUAGACUUUGAUUCAGAGAGAGAAAGAGAGAGACAUGGACAAGACUGUCGCGGCCUAUGCCCCGUCACAUGGCACUGUGGUCCGUCCGUAUAAUUUUCUUCACCCUUUUCUCACUUCUGACUAACCAAACCACCGUGCAGCCCUCGUGACCGCGUCCCCCCUUUCCAUGUUGUCUCUUAGUCACCAGUCAUCUCUCGCUCUUGCAUAUUGAAGCUUCCUGUUUUUUGGCUCAUUGAAUGAUUGAAUUGAACGAAUUCGUCUCCUUCUUGUUUCCGUACCUCGUUCGCAAUAAUUCUGGCCAAAGGAGUGCUGUCACCAAUCAAAGGGAAACGCGUGUUCAUUGCGAACUCCACUAAUUGUGGCCGGAAAAGAAGAAUCCAAUUAGACAUCACCGGUCAUCACCACAACCGAUGGCAUGCUGCAAGACUGGCGUUACAUGCACUCAUUUGAUAGAAAAGCUCACGUAAUAAAUGAAACGACAAUUCUAUUAAAUGAUUUAGACAAAACGACUUUAACGAAAGGUUAAAAUAAUGAAGUAACACUAGCUAUAAAAUCACAUCCUUUAGUCUAUUUUUCAUGCCAACCUAUCCUAGGAAAUUAUAGGAAAAUUAUCGGUGUACCACUUCUGUUUUGGCUGAUGUUCACGAAUUAUUAUAAAAUUUUAAUAUGUACUUUGUAUUAACUUUUUUUUUUAAAUUUGUAUCGAUUAGUCAAUUUUGCAUUAACACCGUUAAAUAAUAUAAAUAAAAUGAUAAUUUUGCCCCUAAAUAAAU